GUACGGCUGAGGAGUUCCACAAUAGGACGAAACGUCCGUCCAGUAC
rfam:Schistosoma haematobium scaffold1155_15, whole genome shotgun sequence.